rnacentral:rRNA from 1 species
AGCGAACGCUGGCGGCAGGCCUAACACAUGCAAGUCGAACGCCCAGCAAUGGGAGUGGCAGGCGGGAUAGUAACACGUGGGAACGCGCCCUUCGGUUCGGAAUAACUCAGGGAAACUUGAGCUAAUACCGGAUACGCCCUUACGGGGAAAGAUUAUUGCCGAAGGAACGGCCCGCGUCGGAUUAGCUAGUUGGUGAGGUAAUGGCUCACCAAGGCGACGAUCCGUAGCUGGUCUGAGAGGAUGACCAGCACCACUGGGACUGAGACACGGCCCAGACUCCUACGGGAGGCAGCAGUGGGGAAUAUUGGACAAUGGGCGCAAGCCUGAUCCAGCCAUGCCGCGUGGAUGAUGAAGGCCCUAGGGUUGUAAAGUCCUUUUAACGGGAAGAUAAUGACGGUACCCGUAGAAUAAGCCCCGGCUAACUUCGUGCCAGCCGCCGCAGUAAG